UACAGAGGUCCCAAGCGUUGUUCGGAUUCACUGGGCGUAAAGGGUGCGUAGGUGGUGAGGUAAGUCGGAUGUGAAAUCUCCGGGCUCAACCCGGAAAUGGCAUUGGAAACUACCUUGCUGGAGGAUUUGAGGGGGGAUUGGAAUACUUGGUGUAGCAGUGAAAUGCGUAGAUAUCAAGUGGAACACCAGUGGCGAAGGCGAAUCCCUGGAAAAUACCUGACACUGAGGCACGAAAGCUAGGGAGCAAACAGGA
rnacentral:rRNA from 1 species